rnacentral:tRNA from 1 species
UCCCUGGUGGCUCAGACGGUAAAGCACCUGUCUACAAUGUGGGAGACCUGGGUUCAAUCCCUGGUUUGGGAA